rnacentral:rRNA from 1 species
GUCUACGGCCAUACCACCCUGAAUGUGCCCGAUCUUGUCUGAUCUUGGAAGCUAAGCAGGGUCAGGCCUGGUUAGUACUUGGAUGGGAGAAGCCUCUGCCUUCAGCUCAGGUCAUGAUCCCAGGGUCCUGGGAUC